AUGGCGACCGGCGCACGGGUGCGUAACGCGUAUGCAACCUACCUGUAACAGGGGGAUAACACUGAGAAAUCGGUACUAAUACCGCAUAACACUAUGAGAGGCAUCUCUUGUGGUUGAAAGUUUCGGCGGUUACAGAUGGGCAUGCGUUGUAUUAGCUGGUUGGUAAGGUAACGGCUUACCAAGGCGACGAUACAUAGGGGGACUGAGAGGUUAACCCCCCACAUUGGUACUUAGACACGGACCAAACUCCUACGGAAGGCAGCAG
rnacentral:rRNA from 1 species